ACAUGAAGGAUUUGGAGUAGUACUGUAACUUAAUGACAUUUUCAUGAAAUUCGUCUUAUUAGUAGGUAGAAGUUGUGCUUCUUAAUGAUCAUUAUAUACACAUUUCAUCAAACUUGUGUUUGACCAAGUAGAAAAGUAGAUUGUCUCCAGGUUCUUUGGACAUAUUAUUCUAUUUUUCUUCACUAUAAUAUCAAUAAUAUCUUGCUAGAUUUAAAUUCCGAUGCUUCCACUAUCAUGGGUUAGAGCCACUAAACUAAAAAGGUCACCAAGUCCCUUCAUUUCUGAGAAAUGUAAUUUAACUAAAGAAAUUAAUUAGUGAAAUCCACAUGUAUGUUCAUAAUUCAUUGUACAUUGCAACAAUACACACAGAUGGACUUUAUACAAGUAAAUUCUGAUAUAUUAAUAAUGGAAGUAGAAAUUAGAAUUUUCUAAUCACUUCACUCAAUUAUUGAACUAUCUUCAUAUAUACUGUAUUUUAUUUUAAGUUUAAACAGGAUCCUUUCUGUGCC
rnacentral:lncRNA from 1 species